rnacentral:rRNA from 1 species
CACGUAGGGGGCAAGCGUUGUCCGGAUUUAUUGGGCGUAAAGAGCUCGUAGGUGGUUCGGUAAGUCGGGUGUGAAAACUCUGGGCUCAACCCAGAGACGCCACCCGAUACUGCUGUGACUCGAGUCUGGUAGGGGAGUGUGGAAUUCCUGAGUGUAGCGGUGAAAUGCGCAGAUAUUAGGAGGAACACCAGUGGCGAAGGCGGCACUCUGGGCCAGUACUGACACUGAGGAGCGAAAGCGUGGGUAGCGAACAGG